rnacentral:rRNA from 1 species
GAUGAACGCUAGCGGCAGGCUUAAUACAUGCAAGUUGAGGGGCAGCAUGAUAUACGCGAGUAUAUUGAUGGCGACCGGCGGACGGGUGAGUAAUAGGUAGGAGACCUACCUCAUACAGGGGGAUAGCAUAGAGAAAUCUGUGGUAAUACCCCAUGAGGUUAUAUGAAUAGAGGCAUAUAAUCAAAGCAUAAGCGAUUAUGCGGUAUGAGAGGGGCCUACUGACCAUUAGCUAGUUGGUGAGGUAAGGGCUCACCAAGGCGAAGAUGGUUAGGGGUUUUGAGAGAGAGACCCCCCACAUUGGAACUGAGAGACGGUCCAGACUCCUACGGGAGGCAGCAGUAGGGAAUAUUGGGCAAUGGGCGAAAGCCUGACCCAGCCCAUGCCGCGUGAGGGAAGACGGCCUUAUGGGUUGUAAACUUCUUUACUACGCGAAUAGAGGUUAGUACGAGAUACUAAUAGGAAGGUAGUGUAGUAAAAGCACCGGCUAACUCCGUGCC